UUGACAAAUGGAAGCUCGUGUCCCAGCUCUGCUUCUUACCAGCUGUGUGACACUAAACGAAUGAUAACAUUCUGACCGUCAGCUUCCUCACCUAUUAAAAAAAAUGGUACAAACAACAUCUGCCUGUGUCAUAGCUUAGCUUCAAUGAAUAGCGGAUGCCUGUUCAGAUGCUGUCCAUCAGAGAGGGCAAAGUACAGCUCAGCUUCAUUUUUUACGCCCACACUAAAUCUAUUCAGCUGGCACUUCUCUACCAAGGAGGAACUUCCCAGAGUUGCUCAACAGCGUGCUCUGGGCAGGAUACUGGAGAAAAUUCAGAGGGAGAGGGAAGCAGUAUCAGAGCGCCCUGGCUCACCUGUUUCCAAAACUCAGCUAACUGGACUGGACUGCCAUUCAGGGCACAAUGCCCUGGGACAAAGGGGGAGCUUGUCUUGACCAGCGACAGCUGAUUGGUUUUAAGUCAGCACAGAGGACCUGACACCUGGGGGGAAGCGGCAUGACUCACGGGAGAAAAUGAUUUGCUUUCAAAUACAGAAUAAGGAGAUAUGAAAGCAGAACACACACUCUCCAAAUGAAACAGACUCAUUGAAGAAAAAAAAUAGAGGAGAGCAGAGAAUGGGAGAAGGAAAAAGGAAGAUGCAAUCAGUCAAGCGGAGAAACCUCCAAGUACGCAAACAGCGCUCAGCCAUCCGAGGGUGCUGAAUUCAGUUUGCCCACAUGCUGCGGACCCUGAGAAAGUCAACAUGCCCCUCUGAGAUGUGUGCUCUUCAUCUUCAUCAAAACAUAAUAAGAGGGCCGACAGUGUUGGUGUAGGAUUGAUGGUGGUGUGAGCCUCCUGGUGUGAAGCACAGGACUGCGUGGGCAGCUACAAUGGCAGUUCCUCUCUUCCUUCACUCUGUCCCCUCAAUCACUGGUGGCUGUAUCCGUGUCAGAAUGCACAUGCUACACCUGAAUGCGAAAACAAAAUAGCAUUGUCUUAUUUCCCGACAAUGAUCUCACUUUGCUUAUGAGCCCCCAUCCUGAGAUUAGCAAGUCCAAGCCACCAGCUUGGUAGAGAACCCUCAUGUGCUUACAUGGGAGAGUGACAGCACAAGAUAUAGAUAUGGGUACAGGCAUUACAGGGAGAAUUUGGGAUGUGAAAUUUGAAAUUGACCUGAAAUUAACCAGGUCUCACUACAUUUAGGGAUGAAUAUUUCAUUACAAUUAAGGAUGAGGUUUUACUACAUACCAGGUGCUUUGGUGAUCUGUUGCUAGCUACAGGCCAAGGUGACUGUCCCCAUGAGCUCCAUUUAAUCAUGGACAAGGAAUGGAUGAUGGAUACCUGUUUAUUGCCUGUCAGAAGCAAUGCCCUAAACCUUGAAAAUAUUUCCUUCUUUGGUCCCCAUUACGAUCCUCACUUUCUAGUUGAUAAGACGGAGGCCCCGUGCAAGCUGACCCAUCUCCAUAAGGAAGCUCAAUUCCCCCACAUUCCCACCCAGCAGCUGUGUUUCAGAACCCCCACUCCCAGCCAUGCUGUUUGUUUCUAUUUAAAUCUUCAAGAAACACCAAACAACAAACUUCCAAUUUGAGAGCUUGAAGGGUUCUCUGAAGCAUUUUUUUUUCAAAUUAAAUUUUGAAAAUAGUUUGCAAGAAGGCUCAGUAGAUACUUAGCCUGAAGUUGGGCUCAGAUCUUCUGGCUCUUCUUGGUCUUUUAAGCCCCUUGACUUCAGUUUGUUCUUUCUGGGCAUGGGAAUGAUAUGCCGUAAUCUCCAAAAAGGUCACAUCCAUCCUUCAGGGCACUGAGUAGGCGGAAAUCAUAUUUCUAGCACAUUCUUGAUGUUUCCAAACACUGCCUUCCAUCUUAGAUACUGUGUGAAGCUUUUCCAUGUUUCCUUUCCUGUCUCAGCCUUUCAUUACUUGGCAAAUUCAUUACUUUCACUCUGUACCCUAAGUAAUGGUUUGUAGCAGAAUACUGUAAUGAGAAAAAGAAGCGUCGGGGAAAAAAAAUCUGAAAAUGGGAAAUCACACGCUUUCACCUCUCUCUAGGGCAAACUUUGAGAACCAUCUGUUGUAUGAUGAUGAAACUGGAGCGUGUAGAUGGAUUGUCAGAGUUAGGAUGCGGCUGCUGGAGUUACUAUUAAUAUUAAAAUUAUUAUUGGUUACAUUAA